GUGGAAAUAGGUGAAAACUCUCCGACCCCGACGGGCAGCCUAGUACCCGCAAGCGGCUUUCUUCCAACGGACGCCCCCAGAGGAUCCACACACAUCUAGGGCAGGAGCGAGAACACAACAGAGGAGCGACGGUGGAAACAGGAAGCAGUAACCCGCCUCACUCCAACGAGUUUAUUCAUAACGUUGCAGAACUAAAUUCAGGGUGCCGACAAGGGAGAGGAGGAGGAGAGACCAGAGACACGUGGAAGGACACCAAGAUGCUUCUCUCUUUCAGGAGAGAACGUAGAAAUGCCAGAAUCCAUAAUGACCCACACUGCACUCAAGAGCUACUCAGGAGAAGGAAUUUCCAUCUGAGGAAGAAAGAAGCUCUGGGGCAUGGACAUAUG
rnacentral:lncRNA from 1 species